AGCAAGAGCUCAACAGGGCAGGGAUGAGGAGACAGGAAAGGCCCGUACAGUGGUGCAGCUUCCUGGCUUGCUCCUUGCUGCCUGCUCAGCCUGUUUCAUAUACACUCCAGGACCACCAGUAAUGGGCUGGGCUCACCCACAUCCGUUCCUGUGCUUAGUCACAAGCCAGUCUUAACGGAGCUGUUUUCUUAAUUGAGGUGCCCUCUUCUCAGAAGUCUCUAGCUUCUGUCUAGUUGAUAAAGAAAAGAUUUAAAAAAGAAAAUGUCAGUGUGUUAUUUUCUUUCAUUAGAAUUUCUAACUUAAAUUGUAUCUUAUUUUCACAUCUCUUUUUUCUGAAAGUGUAUUUUUUAUACCAUAAUUAUGGCCAUAUAUCAGCUCUCUUUGACCCCUUCAUGAUUUUUAGCAUACCUGAAUCCUUACAUUUAAAAGAGUCACCUAUGAUACAGCAUAAAUUUCUUCCCCCCCCUUUUUUUGUAUACACUAAUGACAAAGUAAUCUUUAGUCUCUACAAAUUUUCUUUAUACUUACAUUUCUCUUUCCUGUGAUAUUAUUGGUAACACAGCUGUUUUGUUUGGAGUGUGUCAGUGUGUAUUAACAGGUUUAUAAUUAAGCUUUCACUUUUGUCUUUUCAAUUUUAUUCAGAAAUUAAAAGUGUGUUGUGUACCCUCCUAAAUCCAUGGAAUUCAAUUUCUCUGUGUUUGAUUCCACGGAGCUUUACAGUUUUAUUAUUUGGGUUGCCCGUAGUAGGGAAGUCUAGUGGUGGUGGUCAUUGAUAGUGUAUAUGCCUGUAUUUUUCCUUGACUCUGAAGAGUGGGCUGUCUGGAUGCAGUAUUUUUAGACUUUGUUCCUUCAGCACAUUCACUGUGACCUCCAUCUUAUGUCUGGACUGCAAUGCCUUUUUUAAGAGCUCCGCUGAGGUCACCUUGGAGCAUCAUAGAGAAGCCACAUCACUUUUACCACUCUCCAGAUUACCUUUGUGACUUGUGGAUCAUAGAGUCUAAUGCAUGGAUCGUUUUCGUGCAUUGUCUCCAUGUUCUUCCCUCUGAGUCAGUCAAUUCUAUUUACUAUGUUAGCAUCCAUUGAAAUUUGUCCUUUAAAAAAGUAUCAGCAUCAGAUUAUAACAAGCGUGGGGGAUACAUGGAAGCACCUUAAAAACUGAACAUGCGUUUGUUCCAGCAAAGCCCAGCAAUAGUAGGUCACUCUGUCGAUAAGGCCACUAAUAGAGUGUUUAGUGCGACAUGAUUUGAAGUAGCCAAAAUAAAAGUUAAUGUUAGUACAAAUGCAUAAAUUAUUCGGGGUCUUAAAUGACAGCUUAGUAUUUAAACCACUCUUGUGAGUUCCCAGUACCCACACUGAGCAACUCACAACUGCCUGUCACUCUAGUUCAGUGGGAUGUGAUGCCUCUGGUAUUCACAGGCAUCUACACUGACACACACACACAUACACACACACACACACACACACACACACAUACACUUCUGAAAAUAAUAAAAAGCAUUUUUAAAAGGUUGUGUCGUCCAUGUACACAGUGAAUUAAUAUUCAGUAAUAUAAAAGAGAUGAGCAAAAUCACUUAAUUUUAUGCAGCAUGGGUAAAAGUGCAGGACUUAAAAUGAAAUCAGGCAGACACAAGAAAUGAGCAUCCUAAUGUGCAAUCUGAAAAGUUAAUCUCAGAAGUGAAAAGUGAGUGCAGAUUGGUACAUGAGCAGUGACUGUCACCUUGGGGGAUUGUUGAAGUAGUGGUGGUCAAAGAUGAAUAUUACUGAAAUAAGCAUAAGGCUACUAGACAAUAGCUGUUUUUUUAAAGAUCUAGACUUAAUUGAAAAAAAAGAACAAGCAUUCAGAAUUUUACAGAUCACAGGUGUAUUUAAUAUGUAUUUCUUGGGAAAUACUAGAGAAAUUGGUGGUUAGUGUUCAAGUACAAAUAUUAUUUUUUUUGAAAUGAUAACGUGUUAAGUAGAUUUAACCAUCCCAGUAUAAAUAUAUACCUAAAAAUAGCAUGCUGUAUAUAAGUAGAUUGAGUUUAUUUUUCAGUGAAAUCAACAACAAACAAUAGUAAUUUGUUUUAUAUUCAGAAAGUUAUUUUUUACAGGAUGGGUGAGAGUUUGGGGUAACAGAAUAGUAUUUGCUUUUGGUCUCAGUUUUACAAAACUGUUACGUAAAAUAUACCUGGUAUCUCCUACUCUCUGCCAUUGUAGAUAGCCAGGUUUCAUACAGGCUCUACAAAAGC
rnacentral:lncRNA from 1 species